GCCCUAGUUAGCUUGGAAGGUAGCGCGUCUGCCUUGUAAGCGCUAGGCCGCGGGUUCGAUUCCCGACUGGGGCG
rfam:Asian citrus Psyllid, Diaphorina citri - Florida Strain, whole genome shotgun sequence.